UGAGUAUUGCUUCAUUCUGUUUUUGCAUUCUGUUCAUUGUGAAAUCAACAAUGUAUUUAUGUUGUAUAUUUUUGUACAUUUUAGGUAUAUUUAUAUGUAUUAUGUAUUUAUUUUUUAAGGUUAAGAAAUCUUGUUAUUGUUUCUGAUUAAUAUUUGAUUUAAGUUAUAUAUCACUUAACAAAGUCAGUAUAGGAGCCUAUUCACACAUAGUUGGAAUUGCCCAACAUUAAGAUUGAUAUGUACUAAGUAUACACUGUAAAACAUCACAGCCCAAUUUAGUUAUCUCCACUAACUUAUUUUCUUUAACUCAAAUAACCGACCCAAGUUUUAGAUUUUUAACUUACAUUUAUGAGUUUUCAAAAGUGAAACUUGCAGAAAUCAAUGUGAUGAUAUUGUGCUCAAUAGGGAAGAGGUGUCACCUGCUGGUCAUUUUAGAGAAUUACAUCAUGUAGUAAUGAGCAGUGUGCAUCAGUCGAUGACAGAUGAGCCAUCAGUGUGCAGAGUAAUCACUUCAGAAGUUGGUUGUGCGUGAGUGAGUACUUACCUGAAGUCUUAUAUGUGACAUUGUGUGUUCUUUAAUGUUGAGGCAAAGUUGUUAACUCCUGCGGAGCCAGAGUUUAGAGCUUAGAUGUUCGGCGUAUUCUGGAUAUGCUAAUUGGCCGACGUCACGGCCCGACAUGCUUACUAACUGUGUUGCUCUCUGCACGAGGAGGAAAGUUUGAUGUCCGUGCUUCACAAUAAAAGCAUCGUAGUAUUUUUAUAGGGAAAUGAUUGUAUGACUGUUAAGCCUACGAUAGCCUUUCUGUGCUUAAUACUUUAGGUUAAAGAGACAUGUAGCUUACCUUUAUUUAUUUACAUAUUAUAACCUAUUACAUUACUGUGUAGUGUUUUGUAUGUUAUUAUAGAGGUAAGAUGAAGCAUUCAGAUGUGUUCCUUAAGUAUAUAUUCUGCUAUUCUUUUUCUUAUAGAAAACCACAACAAGACCCAAUACUCUGUCAUAUUUAAUGGCCACUGAGAUGCCUGUAUUUUGUUUCAUGAGGAAGAAGUAAACAGCCAUUCAACCAAAUCUGCCCUCUUGUUAUUCAUAUUCUGGAAUAAGGCCUGAAGUGGUGUUCUGGCCGACACACCUGAGUGAAUCCAGUGGAAAGCAACAGACUAGUGUCCCAACUGAGUUUAGUUUUAUUAUCUUCAUUACAGCCAGGACUUUGACAGAAUCACUGUUCUUUAAACCAUGGUAAGAAAUAGGCAAAAGUACACAUUGUAUAGUGUAUAUCUGCUCUUCAUUCGAAUUUCAACCUAAAUUUGGACAACAAUAGAGGACUCUUUCCUGCGGCGGAGGAAGUCCGUGCGCCUGAUAACAUAGCUUGAACGGAGGCGGAGUAAUUCAACGGUCCUGUGAAGCAGCCGUAGGGAGAGAGAACGUCUUCGGUGAACCGACAGCAUUCGGACUUGGAUCUAAAUUCAGAGUUCAGGAGGAUUGUCACCACAGACCUGAUGGAGUCUUUCUUUGGUGGACUAGAUGCCUUGUUACCAAACCUUAUAGAGUUGUACCAGUCAGGUGUCACAUCCAACAAGAGGUUAAUCCUGAGAAGAAUUCUGCAGUGUCUUGGGAAAGAGGAUUCAAACCAAAACAGACUUACAGAUGCCCUACUUGGCCUUCCAUGCUUCUUUGCAGAGGAUUUCUCAAACAUGAUCCGGGUUAUGUGUGAUGUAAGUUGUUUUAAGAAAACGAUUUCAUGGUCAUAACAUAACAUUUUUAAAACUUUAUUUGAAGGGAUACUUCACCGGUUGAAACAUGAAUCUGUAUUGACAUUGGGUCAU